rnacentral:rRNA from 1 species
CAGCCGCCGCGGGAAUACAGAGGGUGCAAGCGUUAAUCGGAAUUACUGGGCGUAAAGCGCGCGUAGGUGGUUUGUUAAGUUGGAUGUGAAAGCCCCGGGCUCAACCUGGGAACUGCAUCCAAAACUGGCAAGCUAGAGUACGGUAGAGGGUGGUGGAAUUUCCUGUGUAGCGGUGAAAUGCGUAGAUAUAGGAAGGAACACCAGUGGCGAAGGCGACCACCUGGACUGAUACUGACACUGAGGUGCGAAAGCGUGGGGAGCAAACAGGAUUAGAUACCCCAGUAGUCCCUGUCUCUUAUAU